rnacentral:pre_miRNA from 1 species
AGUCGGAUAGCUAGGUCAUAUGGUGGUUCCAUUCAUGGUCUUUUGAGGAAUUUCCAUAUUGCUUUCCAAAGUGGAUGUACUAAUUUACAGUCCCAUCAGCAAU